UAGAGUUAACUAUGACAUUAAUGCGAUUAAUCACGAUUAAAUAUUUUAAUCGCUUGACAGCUCUAGUUUUGUAACAUGAAAUCAAACCAAACCCAACCAGUGCCCCAUGAUCGGCAGUCUUGUUUGUAUAAUUACACUGCGGGAAUAUUGCCAUAGCACAUGACACUAUGUUAUGGUGGGGUCAUCUGAGAACACAAACUUCUGUUUAAUUCAUUAUCAGUCUGGGAUUUAAGAGAUAUAUCAAGGUGAAGAUUUAAAAAGAGUGAGAAGUAGGGUGAGAUCUAGAAGACAAACUUGCAGUGUCAGUGCCAUCUGCCAGUGAAUAUAAUGAAAAGAUUGCUGAAUUGAAGUACUGAUGGCUAGUAUUAUUUGAAAGAAGCGAGGAACGGUUUUAGGAGCUAAACCGUUGUAGGUUUAGCUCACUUCAAGGACUUGAAGUGAGGCCUACAGCAGCCUGCAUGGUGGGACCACUAUUCAUCAUGAGAGUCUCUAAAUGAACCAGAAACGCAUGACCUUCAAGUCUGUCUUCCGGAAGUGUAAAGUGUUUUCUAAAUGUUCUCUUCUGUCCUGACUCUCCAUCAGCCACCUUCUGUUGCUGAGUUUGAAAACAUCUCAGCUUUGACCUAUCGCUUGGCUCCUGCAGCACAGAGAGAACCAAUAGGAGAGCAGGAUAAUCUUCAUUAUCCCAGCAUCCACACCUCUCUCUCAGAGAACCAGGAAAUGCCUCGCUGGUUGGCUGGCUUUCGUCUCAAAUCAGACCAGACAGAUGCAAUUCUUUUACUCUGUGGUCAACAUUAAGAGACCCAACACUGUCCCUGGAGAGCGUGAGCAGAAAGAGGCAGCAGAAACCUCAGAGUUGUAUAGCACCGUCAAAAAAUAACCCGGAGAUUGAACCAGUUGUGGCAGCAGGAUUUAAAUAGUGGGUCUAGGUAGAUUGUGUGUCUCAUCCAUUUAGUUU